rnacentral:rRNA from 1 species
UUCGCAAUGCCCGAAAGGGUGACGAAGCGACGCCGCGUGCGGGAAGAAGGCCUUCGGGUUGUAAACCGCUGUCGGGAGUUAGGAAGUGCAAGGAUGUUAAUAGCGUCCUUGCUUGACUAAGGCUCCGGAGGAAGCCACGGCUAACUCUGUGCCAGCAGCCGCGGUAAUACAGAGGCGGCAAGCGUUGUUCGGAAUUAUUGGGCGUAAAGAGCACGUAGGCGGCCGUGUAAGUCGGUUGUGAAAGCCUUCCGCUCAACGGGAGAACGGCAUCCGAUACUGCAUGGCUCGAGUGCGGGAGGGGAGAGCGGAACUUCUGGUGGAGCGGUGAAAUGCGUAGAUAUCAGAAGGAACACCGGCGGCGAAGGCGACUCUCUGGCCCGUAACUGACGCUGAGUGUGCGAAAGCUAGGGGAGCAAACGGGAUUAGAUACCCCGGUAGUCCUAGCCGUAAACGAUGGGCACUAAGUAGAGGGGUUUU